UGAACUAGGCGCGGCCAAAAGGAGCCCCAUCCAUCUAUCACACGUGUAGACAAAGGGGGACUUCACAACACAAAGCUAGAUGUGUCUUCUCAAACUUUUUUUUUCCGCGACGCACGGCAGCGCGCACCGCGCCGGCCGACCCCCGCAGGUGGGAUUUGAACAGAGAUUAACCAGCAAAGCAUUUCCUCCUGCGCAAGGCCGAGGAAAUAAAAAUAUGUGGAAAUCACAUGGAAGAUGUACAGAGUCACCUAUCAAGCAACUUUUAAGACAAAGAGGAGGAUUAAGAGACUGUGCAGUUUUCUUUUGGAGAAGGUGAAGACUUAUCUCAUAAGGAUUUAGACUUCAGCAGCAGCAGUGCCAGUCGGAUUGGCACACUUGGAAAUCUAAAACUCAUGGAGACACUUUGAGGAUUAUAAGAAUGUGUAGUAAGUCUCUCUACAAGACAUGUCCCAGGCCAAAGUCCCCCGGAUAGCAGGAUAUUGCAUUUCUGAUCCUCCUCGGCCUUCGCAUGGGGAGUGUGGGAGUGGUGAGGUCUGGGAGAUCACGACCUUAAUUCUCUCCAAGACAGACAGUUUAAUUAACACUGGAGGAAUCCUCACUGACUCCAGACCUCCACAAUGAGAGGGUACAGGGGAAUUGGAUUGCCCAGGUCCUCUUGGCCAUUUAGUAGACUGACAUGCUGACAGACAAUGCCCAUGAAUGAUGAAUGAUGACCGGAGGUCUGUCUGGUGCCAACAGAAUGCAUAAUACAGCAUAGAUACAGCAUUUCCAGUUCCCCUCACCAGGAACAUGGUGCUGCUCCUGUAUCAUACUAUUGCAAGAUUUGCCCUCAGCCGGACACCAGGAGCACUUAAAGUGGAAAUCAGCUGCAAAACCGCCUUCAGGAAUGUUGUUUUCUACCUGGAAUCCUAAAUGAAGGAGCUUUAUAAAGGAUUGGCUGGCUUGUUACCGCUGACCUGAGACCGUAAACCCUCAGCCCUCGAUUUUACCGACUGCUGGCACAGAAAGCAUGUCCAUAUUGCCACAUUACCAAGCCAAACUGCUAAUAAGCCUCAAGCACCACUCCAAGAAAACUAUGUAGUCACUGGAGCUAUCCCAUAGCCAUGUGUUACGGUUCUACUGAAGGCCUCCUUCAUUGUAGUCCACAUUGCACGAAGACCACCUCACAGGGAUUUUCCUCUUCACCAGGUGGAAGCUGAAUUAAUGAGGAUGAUUCCUGCUCCUGUCAUCUCUAAGCUCCUCACACAUCUUUACCUGCACAUGAGGAAAAUCACUCCUGUAGAAUGCAGAUGCACAAUGAGGGACGUCUGCAGAGACUGAGAAAGAGUCUCACCACAUCCUGACAUGAGGAAAAAGACUUUAUUGAAGACUACAAUGAGAAAAACUAUCAGACAGCAGACAACAUGCAUUCACGACUAAAGAACUACAGACUCUUCACAACCUGCUCAAACUCUUGGUACAGGACCUCACCACACGGGUCAAGAAGGUUUCCAUCUCAUUUCUACUCUGAAGCUCACCUUCUCCUGCUCAAACUGCUGACAAAUGUUUCUGCUGCUCUAAAGUCUUCUCUCCAGAACUUCCUAAAAACUCUCAAAGUCUCUUCUGCUGCAGGUUGCUUUGUAGAACUGUUCCAGAAAACCUCACUAAACCACAUGGAGGGGCCUCAAGAUAGUCGUCCAAAUGAGACCGUACAAAAACCAAACUAGCACAACCCAAACGCUGAAGUCUCCUGCAGCCUACCAGAGAACCUCUGAGAACAGAGAAUCAGGACAGGAACUCUUACCUUCUGGACAACCAACGCUGGUUCAUAAACAAGAAUACAGACUGUGUCUGACCAAAAACCUCUAAAGACUCACUACAGCCAAGAUAAAGACACAACUCAGCUGCACCAAACCCACUAAUCACUGCACACAUUAGCACCAUGUGCUAACUGUGGCUCAAGAACCACAUUUACCAAGACAACUAUCCAGUACAAAGCCCUAACACACACCAAGAAACACAUUAAAGACGAUUUUACUGCUGGAAGCUGCAAGCCAAUGCCUAAAGAACAAACUAAACCAACAGAGCCAAACCCGGUUCUGUGGUGAAGAGAAGCAGAGGAAAUGUUUGUCUGCAGCUAAAUAAAGCAGGAAGACACUGAGCUGCUCAGGUGUUCCUGAUAACACCAAGCAGCUGCUCAGGUGUUCCUGAUAACACCUAGCAGCCACCUGGACAGCCAAUAGGAACACAGCUUACUGGAAGUCCAGAGGGCUGGGUUAGUGAAAGAAAUUUAGUUUAAAGUUGAAGCAGAAAGUUAACAAAGAAAGUUGAAAACCACCUUCUGAUCCCUGAAAUCUCUGAGUUUUCACACAAAGAACGCCUGAACGUGUCAAACUGGUUCCAUAGUAGAACCCUCAUUGUAUAAACGUCAUCGUAUGGUGUGUCAUAGUCUGUCUUUAGUUCAGCUGAAAAUAUUAGUUUUUGUCUUUGUGGACCAGAAUACCUGCUGAGAGGUGAGGAAGUCUCACUGACAGUUACAGAAAUGGUUUGAGUGCAGUGAUUGCCUCAAAAGGUUGUGCAAUAUUAAGUUAAGGGUACCAUCAUUUUGUCCAGGCCUGUUUCAUGAGUUCAUUUUUUAAAAUAAUUCUGUUGAACCACUGUUCAAAAGCAAUGUCUGAUUUUCACUGGUUAAUUUUCAUAGAAUUUUUAUUAUUACUUUUGUCAGAUUCAAAUUAUUUCUGUGACCAUUGUGGGUUUUUCUUUCAUUAACCGAGGGGUACCAACGAUUUUGUCCACAUACGUAUACCAGUAAAACUUCACUGAUUUUCAUGUGAAUGUUCUUAAGAAUAUUUUACAGAUGAAUGAUGACAGAUGAGGAGACAUCCUCUCCUGAAGAUGAGGAGACAUCCUGUCCUGAAGAUGUCUAAAAUUUGACUGAAACGUCAUAACCUGACCGUGAACACCGUUGACACCCACCCGAGGGAGACGCUGCCUAAGAUCUCAAGGCUGCUUGGUCGUGGUCUUUCUGGUCCUGCUCCAGAACGCCUUCAUCAACUACGUCUUCUUUUGAAGAGGCCCUCAGAUGCUGCAAUCUCUGACCUUAAGGAGGAACUGCUACUUUCACUCUGUAACGAGACGGCGGUUAUUUUAAAGACCCAGCUCCUGGCGGCUUUGAGUGAAAGUUUAACACCCAUCAAAACGGAACUGCAGACAGUUAAAUCUGAGCUGUCGGUCAGUAUUUCAAACAUCAAGUCCGACCCUGGCGCCCUAAAGCACACUGUAGAUGAAAUGGAAACUUCACUCUCCACAUCACCGACGACAUCGUCACACUCCAAAGCAGAGCACCUGUCUGCUGAACUUUUAAAAGUGGACUAUAAAUGUGAAGAAUGUGAGCAGCAGCAGCCUGUGAGCAGAGGAACAGAUGUGAUCAGAAAGAAGUCAUUUUCUUUUUCUUUUCUUUCUGGUUGACUUGAUGCUGUCAGAUGCAGAUGUUGGAGCUGAUUCUGAUCUUUCAGGAUAAAAAAUCUGCUUUUCCUUCACAGACUUUUCAGGAAAUUAUUCUCUCAGGCUUUCUCUGCUAUUUAUAUUUUUAUUAUCUGUGAUUAUUUCAUUAUUUCUUUAUUGUAAAAAUAAAGUUUGAGGAAUAAAGACUCCUUUAGAUAUUUUAAUCCUGAAAUCUUUGAUGUAGCAGAACUAAACUUCCAUUUUCAUUCUUGUACUUCUGAUACUAGAACUAAACGUAUCUUCAACAUGGAUCAUCUGCUUUUAAUGAAUCAGCAGCAACAUCACAACAACAAAUGAGACAAUUUUCAACAAAUUAAUGAAACUGAUGUCAUUUAAAACUAUCAGAGUCUGUUUUAGUGUCAAAUUAAAGCUGAUUACUGACAACUAGAACAUUAACGUUACUGUUUUAAUCACAUUUAAGUUUCCUGAACGUCACAUUAAUGUCAACCAGCCACAGUUUUAUGAACUUAAUGAACCACAUUACAGGAACACAACACACUUCAGCUGUUUACAUGAAACUCAACACAAACAUCGUUAGCUUAAUGCUACGUUAGCUUUAAUCAGGCUACGACUGAGCAGCUAGCUCGGUUAGCAUCGCUAACAUUAAAGCUAAUAUUUACUAUGCUAACUUUCUUCUCUGGUCAACACACACUGAAACAAACUCCACCAACAUCUGGAGUGCAUGGCGCACAUUACAUCUGACACUAAAGCUGCAUAUAAAGUGCAUUAAAAGCGGCACCGAUGUGAAAAUAAACACUUACUUACCGAACCAUUAGAGUCCUUUCAGUGUCUGCUGGUAGAAUCAGCCGAAGGUAGAAAACUGGUUAAAACAAGCCAACGGGCAGGAAAAUUGUCUGUGGAAAAUGUUGUGUUGCUCCACCGAUAAAUAAACCAACAGUUAUUAUAUCAGAAUUAAUCCAAACGAGGAGAACAGAGUCUCUGCUGCCUCCUCCAUAGGACCUGUCAAUCAUUCCAGACCGGACUGUCAAUCAAGUAGCCCCGCCCCCUAGCUUCGCAAAACUUUAACGCUCUAUAAAAAAUUCAAUGUUGAUUUAUUUUAAGAUCGGCCACCUGAUCUCUCAUUCUGACCAUGAAAACUCACGAAAAAAAAUGUAUGUACAGUCUAUGCACCGUACUCUGUUUGGCUCCACACUUGCUGAUGACCACUUCCGGUCUCAGAAAAUGAAAAAACGGACCUUUUUUCGUUUCUGUCUCUUACUGAUUUUACUUUCUUGUUAUUCUAAAUAUAAAACGAAAAUCAAAGCAUUUUUAAAAAAAAAAAUCGUAUAUCCCUUUUUGAUCAUAAAAAGGAAAAACGCCUUGUAUUUCAAUUUUAAUUUUUGUAUUUUAAAACGAAAAUCAAAUAACCACUCGUUUUUUGUUUUUCAAUACCAGUUUCAGAACGGAAAAUCCAAUUACCAGAUCCGUACACGGACCCUUUAGUCACAUGUAUGUCGCUGUUAAUAUGUUCGGUGUUGGAUGUGCUACUGUAUUAGCUAGCCCACGUGAUUAUAUGGAAAAUAUUGCCUGCAGGGUUAUUUGUAAUCAGCAUAUAAAGCUACAGUAUAUAAAAACCUUAUUAAUGUUCUCUUUUCACUCAGUUUUUUGAGUUUUUGCAAAGUGAAACAAACCAAAUUGAAAGCUAGCGUAGCAUUUAUUUAUGCCAUAAAGUGUAAAACAUUUAGAAACAGCAGCACUUUAGUGAUGACAAGAGGAGUUUUUAAGGUCAGUGUUGUUGUCACUCACUUUCAACAUUUUACCACAGAAUUGCACCCGCAUCGACAGAAGGAAACACAAGCACAUAUAACACGUGCUGCAAUUAGUAAAUAAGCAAAAAGAAAAAAAAAACUGCUGUAAAGGUACAGAGACCUUUUUACUGUCAUAGGUCAGGCUCACAAUAUGGGUCAUAACUAGGAUUUUCAAGCAGACAUGCAAAGAGCUGUAAUAGCCAGAAAUCUGGACAAAAGAUGACAAAAUACUAACAAACACAACAAUAACAACAAAAUCCCACUAGAAGCUGAAAAUAUAAUCCACCUCCUGCAGCUGCAGAAGCAUGUACUUUAAACAAACCAAGCUAAAAGUCAGCAUUCAUUUGGAAGUUUAUCUGGGAUUUAAACUAUUUUCUCUCAUGAUAAAGUCUUGGAUUUUCCACAUUUCACCACUACAUCCUACUCCUAUGUUAGACUUUUAUCCUCUUUUAAUUAUCACAUCUGAUCUGGGUAAGAAGGUCACGUGAUGGGCCAAAGUCUCCAGUCAUGGGUUAGCCAGAAAAUGGAGCCACAGCCAGAGCCAGUUUCCUCAGACUAUCAGUUCACAGACUCAAAAUCAUCCUAUAGUACAUGUUUAGUUGUCACUCUAUAACCUGGAAGCAGAAACCUGAAGCUGUGCAUGUAACCAGAGAGUAACGCCUGCAUGUAAAUACAGUUACUGUUUCCCUCAGGUGUAGCAGAGUGAGACUCUGGGAAACAUCACCUGGUCUAGACAGGACUGUCAGGGUGAGACUUACAUUCUCUCUUUGUUGUCUCUAACACUAUACAAUACGUGUCUGUCUCUUUCCCUUAUUGUCUGCGUCUCUCUGUGCUCAUACAGCUGAUUGCAUAAAUUUACUGCAUGUAAAUCCUCGGCAGCUGCCUGCUGUUUUGCCCUCCUUGUUCUUCGCUUUUUCUUUCCUUCAGAUUGAUGUUGGAGGAUUUUUCUCAACCUUGUCACCUCUCCUUGCCUUUCUCUCUGCCUGGUUCUGUGCCUGGGGUGAAGCUCUCUCGCUCUUUCUGUCUCGUCUCUCUCUAAUUACAUUGUUCUCAGUUGCAGCCCUGUGCCUUCCCAUGGGUUUAUAUGUCCUUAUGUAAGGUCUGACUGAAUGGCAACAUUUUUUUCUUGUAAUGAUGGGAAUUUUAACUCAGAAGUUGACUGUUUGUGUGUGGAUGUGUGUCUUCUGCUGUGUCGCAGAUUUCUGUGAUGCAAAGUUACUGGAUUUUCAGAUCUUUACAGUCAAGAUGUGGACACUGUGAGUUCUUCAGCAGAUGUGCUUGUUUACACCCU